rnacentral:rRNA from 1 species
GUCUGCAACCCGACUACAUGAAGCUGGAAUCGCUAGUAAUCGCAGGUCAGCAUACUGCGGUGAAUACGUUCCCGGGUCUUGUACACACCGCCCGUCACACCAUGGGAGCCGGAAAUGCCCGAAGCCAGUGACCCAACCUUAGGGAGGGAGCUGUCGAAGGUGGAGCCGGUAACUGGGGUGAAGUCGUAACAAGGUAAC